CACCCCCUUGCACCACAUCAGCAAAGCCUAUUCCAAAGCCUGACAGAAUAUUCCAAGUGAAGAUGGAAUCUAUAAUCCAGGUCACAAACCCAAACGCCGCGGCACAUUGCCAGCAGGCUGUCCUUCUGGAAACCAGAGGCCCGUCUGUAUCUGGAGAACAAGAAGGUCUUCCCUCAGCCUCCACCAGAGCUGCUCCAUCAGUUCACUGUUCUGAGUAAAACUGCUGCAGACUGAAGGGAUCGGUUCAUCAUCACAUCUGCAGAGUCUGGGAAGGCUGGAGAUCCUUCUGGACAAUUCAAGAACGCCACUUUCUACUGACUAGUGGAAAAUAACGCUGGAUACAUGAUAAGUGUAUGACAUAAAAAUGACCUUUUCUAUACUACACCUCAGAACCUUAUGCAUGCAUUGUUAGAGCAUCCACAAACCCCCUCAGUUCCUGCCUGACACCCCCUGAACCUGUCUGUCUUCUGGGACUUGCCGGGCUCGAGGCCACUUUAAAAGCAGAAACGCAGCGGCGUCAGCCCUGCACGCUUACCCCCAACAGAGAAUUCAUCUCCACCCAGGAUUCGCCCCGAAAAUAAAAAAGGCAAAAUAACAAACGAGCGUCCGAUGGAAGAACCAAAGCUGGAUCAGCUGGACACUCCCUAGUCUGAACUGAGGAGGAAUGAAAAUCAUGAAAAUCACCAAGACUGAGCGUGGCACUAAAGAAAUGACACUCAGCUGUAACAAACAAGAACCCACAAAACUGCAUCGACCUGAAGAGAUUAACACAGCACAACUAGAGCUGCAUCCUGGACGAGCCCCCAGUAGUUACUCCCAAACAAAGUAAAGGAAAACUAAGCAGAGAAAAGGAAGGACAGAGAACCAAACAACAGAACCAACAAGCUACAACAACACGAGUUUCUUCACAGCUCAGUUACGGUGUGUCACAUAUGUGACGUGUCCAGCUGGAACACGAUGCUGACGGAGGUCGUGUGUUGUGGACCAGCACUAAAGGAGCAGGAAGGAGGAGGGGGUACAAUGGGGUUCUGAGACUCAUCAAGCCAUGUUUCCUGCUGUCCUCACCUGCUAGUGAGUGUACUGAAUAUGAAUGAAUUUAAAUGAAUCCUCUAAUGACUCUUCUCUGAGGCGCGUGUGAACGAGAAGAUUGUUCGUUUUCUGCAGGACAGAUCCGAGAGAAACACCAUGGAGAAGGUGUGACAGCAGGUCCAGGUAAAUCACCAUGAAGAAUAUCUCCAUGGUAAAGACCAGUACGUCACCCUUCUGAUGAGCACCGUGGAACCGGGAAGGACGUUUUCCUCUGGGGAACAAACUCAGCCCUCCUCCUCCAUCUACAGAGUUACCUUCAGCUCGACUCCUGCAGCACGCCUUUCUGCUGGCAGACAACAUGCAGGACUGCAGGAACCAGAUCCUCUCCACCUUUGGCACUGUGCUGGUUUGUCUGGACAUCUUCCACUGGAUCCACCAGUUUGACGUCACCAUCCAGACGGACAGCCACUCCAACAAUAUUCAAAUCUGCUCUGCUGGGGCCGUUUUAGGCUAAAGGAGACCUGGAUCUGCUCUAAAGGCCGUCAGGGCUGAUGAAGUCUUGAAGUCUUUAUCAGAUGAUGAUCCAGCAGCACAUUUCCAGGUGAAGAGGGAAACUCUUGGACCACAGGAAACCUUCCAGCUUCAGCCACCAUGAAAGAAAAUACACCAAAAUACAAGAAUAGAGUCAUUGUUGAUCAGUGUGACAUUCAUCUCAUGUUUCGAAUUAAACUGUCUUUGUUGAAA